GGGCCGGUAGCUCAGUUCGGCAGAGCGUCUGGCUUUUAACCAGAUGGUCGGGGGUUCAACUCCCUCCCGGCCCG
rnacentral:tRNA from 2 species